rnacentral:lncRNA from 1 species
AGAACUGAUAACUACAUUUUGUAAAUGCGUAGUUUACAAAUCUGUUAUGGAAUACAACCAAGUGUGAUUCUUAUAUGCAAAAUCAAGUAGAAUGAAAAUUCAUAACAUUGGAUUGGGUGGUUUGGGUUUUUGAGCCCCAUUCAUGGACGUUGGAUCGCCCGGAUAAUAGCUUUUGACAGCUUCGUCUUAGCCAAUACUCCAUCUAUGAAGUCUCCGCAUCAUCUUGGGAAGACUAACUAGAUUCAUCAGAAUUUCUCAACCAGAAUUCAUCUCCAGGUGAAGACAAUGUGUUGGAUGUCGGAUUCAGUGGUAAUAGGUCCUUCUUUCGCCAGCUUUCAGUCUGACCUUUGCUCACUUCUUUGCCUGUGGCUAAAAAAACAGCUAUCUCGUACAUAUGUUCUAUUUUCUGGUCAUAGCGAGAACCAGCUAAAUGGAAAAGAACUCUAGGGAAUAACAGUAAGACAAACUCGAAGACAAUACCUUCUAGCAAACUCCCAUGGCAUUGUAUUGUGUGGUUCCCUCAGGCCAUACCCCGACAGUCCUUCAUGGUUUGGUUAGCGUUUAAGAACAGAUUAUCAACCGGUGUUAUAAUGAGAGGAACGGGAAGUGAGCAAGGUUGUGUCUACUGCGGAGAGAAAGAUGAAAGCAGAGAUCAUCUGUUUUUCUCAUGCCCAUAUACUUUCACGGUAUGGAUGAACGUUGCAGAAAAAUUACUCAAUGCAGCAAUAACACCGGACUGGGACACCUCCCUUUUGCACUCGAACAUGAACAGAUUCGACUCUAUACUUCUCCGCUUAGUGUUUCAGACAUCCAUUUACGUGCUGUAGAAGGAGAGGAACUGAGAAGGCAUGGAGGUGUUUGUGCAUCUGUGGAUAUGACUACUAAGGUCAUUAGGAAAUUGGUCAAAAAACCGUAUCUCUUCAUUGAAGUAUACGGGUAAUCACAAGUUGCGGGAACUGCUAGUGAGAUGGUUUACUGUCUAUACCUCUUAGGAAACCUCAUUCUUUUAUUCUUUACAGUUGAGAACAAUAAAUCAUCAUUAUGUAAAUCUCUUUUUCACUUUUGAUCAAUAAAUUUGAUAUUUAAUUAAAAAAAAACAAUUCAUAAAAAUUAUAACUAUUUUACUUUGUUCUCAAUAUUUCCAUUUCUUGAAUUUAAUAGAUUUUUAAUACAUUUCUUCUUAAAUUUUAUAAUUUAAAAAUUCAAAAUAAAAGCUAAAUUAUAUUUUUAAAAAGCAAGUAGCAUAAGAAUAUGAUAUUAAUUGUUACUGUUUAAUAUUAAUUGAUGUUGUUGGUAGUUUAAGGGAGUAAUAUUUGGCUGUAACUACUUCAGUGGAAUGAUUCUGAUGUUAUUUAGUAACUUUGUUAAUCCUGAUUUGUUUGAAUAAGUUAUUUUUCACUUUGAAAUUCCUUGUCGACGUACUCACACUAUGGCUUAAGACUUUAAGUAGUAUGUGGAACCCUUACUAACGUUAUGUGUGUUAUUAAUAUUGCAAUUUUUAACUUGUGAAGAUAGCAGCUUCAUAUUCGAUCAAAGAAAAAGGGUAUUAGCUUUAUAUAGUUUGGACAACCUAGAUAUUCUUUUAUUUUUUGGAUAAAAGACAAUUCGAUUGUGUAAAUGCAUUACGGUAUACUAUUUUUGACUGUCACCAGAAGAAAAGGAAUAUUUGAGAACUGAUAACUACAUUUUGUAAAUGCGUAGUUUACAAAUCUGUUAUGGAAUACAACCAAGUGUGAUUCUUAUAUGCAAAAUCAAGUAGAAUGAAAAUUCAUAACAUUGGAUUGGGUGGUUUGGGUUUUUGAGCCCCAUUCAUGGACGUUGGAUCGCCCGGAUAAUAGCUUUUGACAGCUUCGUCUUAGCCAAUACUCCAUCUAUGAAGUCUCCGCAUCAUCUUGGGAAGACUAACUAGAUUCAUCAGAAUUUCUCAACCAGAAUUCAUCUCCAGGUGAAGACAAUGUGUUGGAUGUCGGAUUCAGUGGUAAUAGGUCCUUCUUUCGCCAGCUUUCAGUCUGACCUUUGCUCACUUCUUUGCCUGUGGCUAAAAAAACAGCUAUCUCGUACAUAUGUUCUAUUUUCUGGUCAUAGCGAGAACCAGCUAAAUGGAAAAGAACCCUAGGGAAUAACAGUAAGACAAACUCGAAGACAAUACCUUCUAGCAAACUCCCAUGGCAUUGUAUUGUGUGGUUCCCUCAGGCCAUACCCCGACAGUCCUUCAUGGUUUGGUUAGCGUUUAAGAACAGAUUAUCAACCGGUGUUAUAAUGAGAGGAACGGGAAGUGAGCAAGGUUGUGUCUACUGCGGAGAGAAAGAUGAAAGCAGAGAUCAUCUGUUUUUCUCAUGCCCAUAUACUUUCACGGUAUGGAUGAACGUUGCAGAAAAAUUACUCAAUGCAGCAAUAACACCGGACUGGGACACCUCCCUUUUGCACUCGAACAUGAACAGAUUCGACUCUAUACUUCUCCGCUUAGUGUUUCAGACAUCCAUUUACGUGCUGUAGAAGGAGAGGAACUGAGAAGGCAUGGAGGUGUUUGUGCAUCUGUGGAUAUGACUACUAAGGUCAUUAGGAAAUUGGUCAAAAACCGUAUCUCUUCAUUGAAGUAUACGGGUAAUCACAAGUUGCGGGAACUGCUAGUGAGAUGGUUACUGUCUAUACCUCUUAGGAAACCUCAUUCUUUUAUUCUUUACAGUUGAGAACAAUAAAUCAUCAUUAUGUAAAUCUCUUUUUCACUUUUGAUCAAUAAAUUUGAUAUUUAAUUAAAAAAAAACAAUUCAUAAAAAUUAUAACUAUUUUACUUUGUUCUCAAUAUUUCCAUUUCUUGAAUUUAAUAGAUUUUUAAUACAUUUCUUCUUAAAUUUUAUAAUUUAAAAAAUUCAAAAUAAAAGCUAAAUUAUAUUUUUUAAAAAGCAAGUAGCAUAAGAAUAUGAUAUUAAUUGUUACUGUUUAAUAUUAAUUGAUGUUGUUGGUAGUUUAAGGAGUAAUAUUUGGCUGUAACUACUUCAGUGGAAUGAUUCUGAUGUUAUUUAGUAACUUUGUUAAUCCUGAUUUGUUUGAAUAAGUUAUUUUUCACUUUGAAAUUCCUUGUCGACGUACUCACACUAUGGCUUAAGACUUUAAGUAGUAUGUGGAACCCUUACUAACGUUAUGUGUGUUAUUAAUAUUGCAAUUUUUAACUUGUGAAGAUAGCAGCUUCAUAUUCGAUCAAAGAAAAAGGGUAUUAGCUUUAUAUAGUUUGGACAACCUAGAUAUUCUUUUUUUUUUGGAUAAAAGACAAUUCGAUUGUGUAAAUGCAUUACGGUAUACUAUUUUUGACUGUCACCAGAAGAAAAGGAAUAUUUGAGAACUGAUAACUACUUUUGUAAAUGCGUAGUUUACAAAUCUGUUAUGGAAUACAACCAAGUGUGAUUCUUAUAUGCAAAAUCAAGUAGAAUGAAAAUUCAUAACAUUGGAUUGGGUGGUUUGGGUUUUUGAGCCCCAUUCAUGGACGUUGGAUCGCCCGGAUAAUAGCUUUUGACAGCUUCGUCUUAGCCAAUACUCCAUCUAUGAAGUCUCCGCAUCAUCUUGGGAAGACUAACUAGAUUCAUCAGAAUUUCUCAACCAGAAUUCAUCUCCAGGUGAAGACAAUGUGUUGGAUGUCGGAUUCAGUGGUAAUAGGUCCUUCUUUCGCCAGCUUUCAGUCUGACCUUUGCUCACUU